GCCAGUCGAGAUGCGGCAAAGCAGAGGCAAACAGCUAGGCACAAAGCAAUAGAGUUGUAAACUUUGUUUUUUUUUGUUUUUUGUUUUUUUUUCCUGCUGCCGCCUAUACUGCCUCUCUCCCAUAGGAAGAACACUACCUCUGGGUAGCCAGGAGCUGAGAUGCAGUCUGAAUGUUCACGGUGGCUUCUGACGUGGCAGCGUGAAUUCUCAGCUGGGCAGGGAGGAACCGGAGGUAUGAAUGACAACUGUUUGAGAAGAAGGUCCCAAAUCCCUCUCUUAAAACCUUGGGAUUGUGCUUGAGACUCAGCCCCGAUGUGUUCCGUGGUGAGUCACUCACCUGGUUUACCCACACUGUAUGCUCCCCCUACCUGCCCCUACCUUGUCAUAAGUGCUGAGGAUUGAACCCAUGGCCUCGUUGCAUGUCAGGGCUCCAGUGCAGAUUUAGAUCCACCUUCUGGAUGCUUUGGUCCCUGGAACAAGGCAGCAGGCUCUUGCUAUCAAGAACCUGUCCCUGAGAAGGGAUGCUGUGUAACCAACCAGCCACCUCGUGCUUCUGCCACUGUUGCUUCCCCACUGUGAUAGACUGUGCACACUCAAACUGCAAGCCAAAAUAAACCCCACCCUCCUUA
rnacentral:lncRNA from 1 species